GACGAACGCUGGCGGCGUGCUUAACACAUGCAAGUCGAACGGAAAGGCCCUGCUUUUGUGGGUGCUCGAGUGGCGAACGGGGGAGUAACACGUGAGUAACCUGCCCUUGACUUUGGGAUAACUUCAGGAAACUGGGGCUAAUACCGGAUAGGAGCUCCUGCUGCAUGGUGGGGGUUGGAAAGUUUCGGCGGUUGGGGAUGGACUCGCGGCUUAUCAGCUUGUUGGUGGGGUAGUGGCUUACCAAGGCUUUGACGGGUAGCCGGCCUGAGAGGGUGACCGGCCACAUUGGGACUGAGAUACGGCCCAGACUCCUACGGGAGGCAGCAGUGGGGAAUAUUGCACAAUGGGCGGAAGCCUGAUGCAGCAACGCCGCGUGCGGGAUGACGGCCUUCGGGUUGUAAACCGCUUUCGCCUGUGACGAAGCGUGAGUGACGGUAAUGGGUAAAGAAGCACCGGCUAACUACGUG
rnacentral:rRNA from 1 species